GACCUCGUGGUGCAAGGGCAGCACAUCUGACUCCAGAUCAGAAGGUUGUGUGUUCAAAUCACACUGGGGUCA